rnacentral:rRNA from 1 species
GAUGAACGCUGGCGGCGUGCCUAAUACAUGCAAGUCGAGCGAACGGACGAGAAGCUUGCUUCUCUGAUGUUAGCGGCGGACGGGUGAGUAACACGUGGAUAACCUACCUAUAAGACUGGGAUAACUUCGGGAAACCGGAGCUAAUACCGGAUAAUAUUUUGAACCGCAUGGUUCAAAAGUGAAAGACGGUCUUGCUGUCACUUAUAGCUGGAUCCGCGCUGCAUUAGCUAGUUGGUAAGGUAACGGCUUACCAAGGCAACGAUGCAUAGCCGACCUGAGAGGAUGAUCGGCCACACUGGAACUGAGACACGGUCCAGACUCCUACGGGAGGCAGCAGUAGGGAAUCUUCCGCAAUGGGCGAAAGCCUGACGGAGCAACGCCGCGUGAAUGAUGAAGGUCUUCGGAUCGUAAAACUCUGUUAUUAGGGAAGAACAUAUGUGUAAGUAACUGUGCACAUCUUGACGGUACCUAAUCAGAAAGCCACGGCUAACUACGUG